rnacentral:miRNA from 1 species
UUUUGCAAUAUGUUCCUGAAUAUG